GCCAGGCAUGGUGGCUCAUGCCUGUGGUUCCAGCUACUUGGGAGGCUGAGGUGGGAGGAUCGCUUGAGCCUGGGAAUUUGAGAGUGCAGUGAACUAUGAUCGUGUCACUGCACUCCAGCCUGGGAGAGACAGCAAGAUUCCAUCUCAA
ensembl:misc_RNA Metazoa_SRP Metazoan signal recognition particle RNA